CAUUUGGCUUACGAAAUGAGGCAAGCUAAAUAGGAAUAUGAGGAAAAGACGUCAAUGGGGGUGUGUUGUAAAGAGGAAAAAUAUCAGUUAAUCGGUCUCUCUCUCUCUCUCUCUCUCAACAAGCAGAAACGUUUUCGUCGCAUGAUGAUAUCAGCAACACGUCAGCCAAGGUCCCGCGGCCCACUGUCUCCUGUUUCGCCACCAAAUAGGGCGAGAGUGGCAGAAAGAAGUUGAACUCUUCUUCCGUAUUAUAUUUCGGUGUCAUUUCAGAGCGUUGAUUGUUGCACGCACCCAAGGUGCCAAACAGGAACAACUAUCAAAAACAACACUGAACGACAACAAUUCUAUUCUGUACAAUCUACACAAGUGAUCGUAAGGGUGUUGACCUCGGGACCUUCGAAAGGAAUUCGACCAAUCCACCUUCCUAAGAAAGAGCACGAAUGUGUUUGAAUAUUUGAAUAUUUGAUAUUAGAAGACAUUCCAUUCUGAAUUCAGCACCUCAUAGACCACUGGAUUUUAGUUACUUUACUUUGAGAUAAUUAUUUUCUUUUUUCAUCUAAAGAGCCUCAAAGCACAAGUAAAGAGAUGAAGAACAGCACUGAUAUGACACAUGAGUCCUUGUUUCAGGGCUUGCAAUCUCUUUCCAUUUCCGCAGAAAACGUCUUGUCCAAUCAGAGUGAAUUUUCUGCGCAAAAUGCUUCUGGAGCAGAGCUGUCAUACCCCGAGGGAAUUACUCCUACCCAGCACAUAUUGCUACCAGAACAUCCACAUACUUCCAGCAUUAGUUCUGUCCAGGGUUUAUUACCAGAUGAAGGUUCAUAUGAUCAAAGUUUUCCUAGUAUCCACAACAAUUUGCCAACGGAACUGCCUUGCACUAACACUAUGCCCUCUGCUCUUAAUGACUCAUCUUCUGGAGAAAAGGAAUUUCUAGACUUAUGUGCAGGUUCUGCCGAAUCUGUAGCACAUGUAGAAACUCAUAAAAACAAAACAGACAAUAUCAAAAAACCUACAAUACUCUUCAUAAGAAAGUCUCAGCGAGCACGCAUGUCAACGAUCCAGACUGCAUCUGGACCUGUGUUAUACUUGCCUACAUCACAGCAGGAGGCAGUUGAAUCUCAGAUUCCUCCAAUUCCGGAGUCGAUGUUGCGUAAUCUGUAUGAGGCGCGUGAGCGUUUGCUACAAGAUAAAGACUUGUCUAGUAGACUGAUGAUGUCUCAGAGGUUGGUUUCUUCAGCAGCCAAUGAAAGCUAAUUCUAGUUCCAAUUCAAACUGAUGGAAAAAUCAUUUUUGUUGAAAUGGUUUGUUGGCCAUAAUGUAGGAGAGUACUCUAAUUGUCUUGCAGAAAUAAUAGUGGCAUUGCUGGAAAUUUGGAAUGGGGAAUGAUAGGAGACAUAAAAUCACCUUAUGAUGGAUGGUAAAUAUGUUAUAAUGACAGGGUCUUAAUACCUGGAAAGCACUGAUGUUGUAAAACUGCAGUGACUAGUUACAGUAAUUUUUGUUGAGAAGAAUUAGCAAGUUGUUGAAAGAACUUCUGCAUGUAGUAGCUUUGAUCUAUGGCUUUUGUUUUUUUUUAAUUUACGCAUUCUCUCCCUAAAGGUUUCUCGACUGAAUAAAAUUUUUUUAGUAGUAGUACAGCAAUAGCAGCAUCAGUAGUGGUAACGAGUCUUCAACAUGUUAGUUACAUAUAGCUAUUAGUCACUAUCACUAAGUUAUAUUUAGCUUUUAGUCACUACCACAAUUCACUAUCCUAAGAGAUUUGCCAUUCCCAAAAUAAAUUAACCAAAAAAAAUCUUUUAUCACCAAACACAUUAUCUGCCAUCAAUGAAAGCUAUUUUCUUCAGUGCACCUGUCAUGCAGACUUAUCAUUUUGAGCAUGGACACCUUAUUACUAUAGGUAUGUAGAUGGGUUUGAUGUAAUAUUGAAUGAAAUCAAGCCUCAGUACGAUACUGCUCCUGAAAUCACUUAAAACACAUUGGAGAACGACGAAUCAUCGUCUGGAAUUUGUACAUGAAUGCCUACAUCUGGGGCGCACAAUUGUGGAUGACGUUCAAGAUAUAAGAAACACAGAACAAAGGCAACAUAACCUACGUGCAGCUAGAAACAUGAUUGCAAAGAGAUCUGCCUUCUGUCACAGAGAAACCAAGUUAUGGCUCUUCAGCUUCUUUGGCCAAACUCAAAGUCUAGAAAGAGGUCAGCCAACACACAGAUAGAGAUCCCUCAUUUGCAUGUGGUUGAACCCAAACAGAGCUUCAGUCAAAUAUUUUGUCCAUGAAAGGUCGACACAGGACCAUUUUGCUCUUGUACUUUUUUUUUUUCAUUCAUUCACUCAUCAGAUGAAAUGCUAAAUAACUGCUCUUGUAUCUGGGUUUUUCAACAGUUACAUAAAUAGGGUCCAGUCAGUUAUGGGUUCCCCAAAAGAAACAUGUUUUAGAGACCAGUGGGUGAGGCUUGUUUUCUUGUGAAUAAAAUCAACAACAAGAAUGCUCUCGUUGGUUCUAUUAAUUUUAAACCACAGGGUUACGAAAGUGAAGUCAUAGUUACUUGGAAUUCAAUCUUAAAUGUCAUCGGCUACUGAAAAAAAGUGCUGUGGCCAUCUUCUCUAUAUCUAUGGCUGUGCUUACUCUUUCAGACAGCUGGCAACAACCAAUCUGCUUUCAAUUACAGCAAUCUCUUGAUUAUCCAAAUAAAGGGCGCAAAGGCUUGUCAAAUGAGGGCAAAAUCCACAAAAGUGCUACAAGCUAUGUACCCAUAUUCCCUCUAACAUGUCAUAAAGCACAGCCGUAAACACUAAAUAAUUUAUACUUAUGAAGAACAACUAUCACACUUUAAACUGAAAACUUUAUGCCAGAAGCAAUUAUUCUACCUUAUUUCCCCAUAACAAAAUAUACUGCAUAAAUAUACUUUUAAAAAACCA